UGUAUAAUGGGUCAGCGACUUAUAUUCUGUAGCAAGGUUAACCGUAUAGGGGAGCCGGAGGGAAACCGAGUCUUAACCGGGCGUUAAGUUGCAGGGUAUAGACCCGAAACCCGGUGAUCUAGCCAUGGGCAGGUUGAAGGUUGGGUAACACUAACUGGAGGACCGAACCGACUAAUGUUGAAAAAUUAGCGGAUGACCUGUGGCUGGGGGUGAAAGGCCAAUCAAACCGGGAGAUAGCUGGUUCUCCCCGAAAGCUAUUUAGGUAGCGCCUCGUGAAUUCAUCUCCGGGGGUAGAGCACUGUUUCGGCUAGGGGGCCAUCCCGGCUUACCAACCCGAUGCAAACUGCGAAUACCGGAGAAUGUUAUCACGGGAGACACACGGCGGGUGCUAACGUCCGUCGUGAAGAGGGAAACAACCCAGACCGCCAGCUAAGGUCCCAAAGUCAUGGUUAAGUGGGAAACGAUGUGGGAAGGCACAGACAGCCAGGAUGUUGGCUUAGAAGCAGCCAUCAUUUAAAGAAAGCGUAAUAGCUCACUGGUCGAGUCGGCCUGCGCGGAAGAUGUAACGGGGCUAAACCAUGCACCGAAGCUGCGGCAGCGACGUUUAUGCGUUGUUGGGUAGGGGAGCGUUCUGUAAGCCUGCGAAGGUGGCCUGUGAGGGUUGCUGGAGGUAUCAGAAGUGCGAAUGCUGACAUAAGUAACGAUAAAGCGGGUGAAAAGCCCGCUCGCCGGAAGACCAAGGGUUCCUGUCCAACGUUAAUCGGGGCAGGGUGAGUCGACCCCUAAGGCGAGGCCGAAAGGCGUAGUCGAUGGGAAACGGGUUAAUAUUCCCGUACUUGGUGUUACUGCGAAGGGGGGACGGAGAAGGCUAUGUUGGCCGGGCGACGGUUGUCCCGGUUUAAGCGUGUAGGCUGGUUUUCCAGGCAAAUCCGGAAAAUCAAGGCUGAGGCGUGACGACGAGGCACUACGGUGCUGAAGCAACAAAUGCCCUGCUUCCAGGAAAAGCCUCUAAGCAUCAGGUAACAUCAAAUCGUACCCCAAACCGACACAGGUGGUCAGGUAGAGAAUACCAAGGCGCUUGAGAGAACUCGGGUGAAGGAACUAGGCAAAAUGGUGCCGUAACUUCGGGAGAAGGCACGCUGACAC
rnacentral:rRNA from 1 species